rnacentral:rRNA from 1 species
AGAACGAACGCUGGCGGCAUGCCUAACACAUGCAAGUCGAACGCUCUUGGUUUCGGCCAAGGGAGUGGCGCACGGGUGAGUAACGCGUGGGAACCUGCCCUGGAGUGGGGGAUAACCGAGGGAAACCUCGGCUAAUACCGCAUACGACCUGAGGGUGAAAGAUUUAUCGCUCUAGGAGGGGCCCGCGUCGGAUUAGCUAGUUGGUGAGGUAACGGCCCACCAAGGCUAUGAUCCGUAGCUGGUCUGAGAGGAUGAUCAGCCACACUGGGACUGAGACACGGCCCAGACUCCUACGGGAGGCAGCAGUGGGGAAUAUUGGACAAUGGGCGCAAGCCUGAUCCAGCAAUGCCGCGUGAGUGAUGAAGGCCUUAGGUUGUAAAGCUCUUUCACACGCGACGAUGAUGACGGUAGCGUGAGAAGAAGCCCGGCUAACUUCGUGCCAGCAGCCGC